AAAUUGAAGAGUUUGAUCAUGGCUCAGAUUGAACGCUGGCGGCAGGCCUAACACAUGCAAGUCGAACGGUAACAGGAAGCAGCUUGCUGCUUUGCUGACGAGUGGCGGACGGGUGAGUAAUGUCUGGGAAACUGCCUGAUGGAGGGGGAUAACUACUGGAAACGGUAGCUAAUACCGCAUAACGUCGCAAGACCAAAGAGGGGGACCUU
rnacentral:rRNA from 3 species